AUUAAGAGCUUGCUCUUAUGAAGUUAGCGGCGGACGGGUGAGUAACACGUGGGUAACCUGCCCAUAAGACUGGGAUAACUCCGGGAAACCGGGGCUAAUACCGGAUAACAUUUUGCACCGCAUGGUGCGAAAUUGAAAGGCGGCUUCGGCUGUCACUUAUGGAUGGACCCGCGUCGCAUUAGCUAGUUGGUGAGGUAACGGCUCACCAAGGCAACGAUGCGUAGCCGACCUGAGAGGGUGAUCGGCCACACUGGGACUGAGACACGGCCCAGACUCCUACGGGAGGCAGCAGUAGGGAAUCUUCCGCAAUGGACGAAAGUCUGACGGAGCAACGCCGCGUGAGUGAUGAAGGCUUUCGGGUCGUAAAACUCUGUUGUUAGGGAAGAACAAGUGCUAGUUGAAUAAGCUGGCACCUUGACGGUACCUAACCAGAAAGCCACGGCUAACUACGUGCCAGCAGCCGCGGUAAUACGUAGGUGGCAAGCGUUAUCCGGAAUUAUUGGGCGUAAAGCGCGCGCAGGUGGUUUCUUAAGUCUGAUGUGAAAGCCCACGGCUCAACCGUGGAGGGUCAUUGGAAACUGGGAGACUUGAGUGCAGAAGAGGAAAGUGGAAUUCCAUGUGUAGCGGUGAAAUGCGUAGAGAUAUGGAGGAACACCCAGUGGCGAAGGCGACUUUUCUGGUCUGUAACUGACACUGAGGCGCGAAAGCGUGGGGAGCAAAC
rnacentral:rRNA from 1 species